UCGAGAAUCUUUCGCAAUGGGCGCAAGCCUGACGAAGCGACGCCGUGUGAGCGAAGAAGGCCUUCGGGUUGUAAAGCUCUUUCGCUAGGGAACAAGAAAGGCGGAAUAACACUCCGCCAAUUUGAUGGUACUUGGUAAAGAAGCACCGGCUAACUCCGUGCCAGCAGCUGCGGUAAUACGGAGGGUGCAAGCAUUGAUCGGAAUUACUGGGCGUAAAGGGCGCGUAGGCGGUUCAGAAAGUCAGAUGUGAAAUUCCGGGGCUCAACCCCGGAGCUGCAUUUGAAACUCCUGAACUAGAGUUCAGUUAGGGUAAACGGAAUUCCACGUGUAGCGGUGAAAUGCGUAGAUAUGUGGAAGAACACCGGUGGUGAAGACGGUUUACUGGGCUGAUACUGACGCUGAGGCGCGAAAGCAUGGGGAGCAAACAGG
rnacentral:rRNA from 1 species